ACCCAGUGAUGUCACUUCCUCUGGUGUGAAACAUGAGAAAAGCAGCAAGAUACAGACACCUUCAGAGGUAUUGUGGAGCCCUUUCAUUGACCAGACAGAGCUGUUGUCAUGCACAAUAUUUCUUGAUGCCCAUGUUGGUGGUUCCUCUGG